rnacentral:lncRNA from 1 species
UCGGAAAACUGAAUUCAGGUCUAUGCCUAUAUGAUUGGCUUACAAUUCCAUGCAUGACUCGAUUCCAUUGUUUGAUGCUCCAUCCAGCUCUAACUCUUCCAUAUAACAAGACAUACUUUGUAUCACUCUUCACAUCUUCUCAUUGAUGGCAAAAACAUGACUAUUGUGGCAACUACGCCACCGCUUCAUAUCCAAACACAAGAUGGAAGAUGGGAAGUACCUGUCAGCAUCUCCCUUACUCCCAAGAUUAUGCUUCCGCCUCUCUUUUCUCCCCUUCUCCUGAUUCUUUUUGUCAAACAAACAACAUGAGUUGAAACUCAACCAAGCAAAACAGAAAAGACAAAGAAAAUAUAAAAAGCAUGAGUAAACCUUAUAUCACUUAAAUGCAAAAUCAGGGAUAUCGUGGGUGCCCUGCCGCUGAUUAUGUUGCACUUGUUGGACAGCUCAACCUGCACACCAUGUGAAAUUACCUAGAAGGUUCAGCUCUGGUGGUUCUGCAAGCAAAUAUCUUGUCUGGAUAUAAUAGUUCUUGGGACAAACCUGAAAACUUUAUUAGAUGCCUCUAUGCACUAUGAGGCCUUGCAGUUUUAGGUCGCCCCAACAGUAUGGGCAUGGAAAUCAGGUAUCAACCUGAAAUUAUGUAGGAAGAUUCUAUAUAUUUUUGUAGGUGGAAGAAGAAAUUUCGAUUAGUAGUUGCCACAGGUAUAUAUGUACUGAAGCAUUGUACAUACUGUAUUAUAUAUCAAUCCAGUAAAAGUGGCGACAAGGCUAUCCAUAUUGCAACAUUUUACAAAUACUAAGAUAUUUGGUCAAGAUAACACAUCGAUUCACAAAACCAUGUCCCCAAAAGUGAGAUCAUCCUUCUGCAUAUUUGCACGGCAGCACAUUAUAGUCAGACAUAUGGAAGAAUUAUUUGCAUGCCGAAAUCAUACCAUUAGAAUCCGUUAAUAUGAAGAAAUAUAUACUUUUCUAAUGUACUUCAAUCAUCAAAAGCAUACUGGUUAAGAAAUAGGAGUUAAUCUGAAGCAUGUGUCUUGUUCUUAACUUCUCUCUGGCUGUUGCUCACUCCUCCUUCCAGUAUUAUACUCUGUUGACAUCCUCUUUCAGAAACACAUUCAGUCAUGGGGCAGCAGCAGCAUGAUCAUAAGGCUUUGGAUAUUGCUAGAAAGAAUCACAUAACGGUCAUUCAUGGGGCAGCAGCAGCCUGACCUGUUCAAUACCAAUUUGGACGCAUUCACAACCUAAAAAAACACGGUUGGUGAUCUGC